GUCAUCAAGUGAUGAGAUCUGAAAGUAUUAUCUUAGGACACCUUCCUACACAGCUAUUGCUGUGGAUGAGAACAAUAUUUCUAUUUCUGAUGAUGAU
rnacentral:snoRNA from 1 species